GGUAGAUGUACUAGUUUGUUUUAAAUAACCAGUCGCGUAGCCUCUUUUGCUUUAGUUCUCAUCUCAGCCCUAAUUCGCAAAUUCCUCCAAAAUCCCCAAAUCGCCUCCUACAGCAACGCCGCCCGUCACCGCUCGUCUGCCGGUGAGCACGCCGCCGCCUGCAUCCCCUCGGCCGGCCGUUCCUCCUGCAGCUUCUCCGCCGCCGCCUGCAACCCCUCCGCCGGCCGAACCUGCUCCAGCUUCUCCGCCGCCGACUGCAACCCGCAACCCCUCCGCCGGCCGAACCUCGUCCAGCUUCUCCGCCUCCGCCUGUGCUUUCCCCGCUCCCACCGGUUGCACCUACGCCGGCUCCGGUUGCUUCCUCCGUCAUAGAAAUCAGGUCCGUUUCACAAUUUACUCUUUUCCGCAUUUAAAUCUCAUAAUUCGAGAAAUAAAUGUAAGGCAAUUUUAGAUCUGUAGGGAUUUUCACUGAAAAGCAGGACGCCAUUUCUUCCCGUUGAUUUCUCGCUCCCUGCUGCCUGCUUCGAUCUUGUUAUCCUUAUUCAGGUGUUUCCGCUGCCUAAUCUUCAAUUUGUCUUUGUAAGUUCAAGAAGAAGAACGUCAAAAGUUAAGCUGUAAAUACUGAAAAUGUCCAAAAUUUAGUGGAUAAUCCAGCAGCCUGCUCCAUUGUUUUUUCAGAUAAACUGGUUUUUCUUAGCUCAAUUUUUUUUUUUUAAAACCAACAGAAAAAUGCUUCAGCAGGCUUCUUCAUACGAGCUCAUGUAGUCGAAUUUGUCUUGGUAUUGGAUUCUAUUAUUAUUAUUAUACUGGAGAAAUGAAAUUGUUAUAUUUCCUUGAGGUAUGUGAUUGAUGCAGAUUCCUUAAUACUUUUUUGUUAUCAGUUAAAUAUAUCAAGAUAGUCAUUUUCAUAUUAUAAAGAUUAAAUAGCCAUAGAGAUAAAUGCAGAUUCCUUAAUACUUUUUUGUAUUCCUUUUUAUGUUGGUGGUUAGUAUCUUUUAUUAAUGGGUAUUUUGCUAGUUCAGUCUUUUUAUAAUAAUAAUAAUAAUUAAUCUUAUUGUAGUAAACUGUCUAUUGUUUCACAAACCUAUAUACAUUUCGAAACUUUGAAUCAGAUUGUGUAGAAUCACCAGCGAAAUUGGAAUGUUAUUAUUAAGUUAAAAUAUGGAGUAAUCGAAUACUAGUGCUGUAGACUUAAGUUUUGCUUUGGCAUUUAUAGAUGAAUAAAACAUUGAUGUAUAAUAUGCCAUUUUAGGAUAAUAUUGAAUAUUUUGAAUGGCAAUAAGCAGGCGCAGUUUGAGCAGCCCAUCCCUAUUCCCUACUCCCAUUAUCACGUGAGAUGUUUGAUAAGUCGUGUUUGGUCUCCCAAUAAAUUCUAGUUUGAUAUUUAGUGAUCUUGUUAUCCUUAUUCAGGUGUUUCCGCUGCCUGCUUCGAUCUUGUUAUCCUUAGUAUUAAAAAUGCAAGAUUUGAUAUUUAGUGAUCUGUUUGUAUCGAAUAGUGAUAUUAAGUUGGACUUAAUUUUGCUUCAUUAACACUAAUAUUACUCCAUUAUUUUGCAUAUUAAGUUUGCACGAGUAACUAACUAAUUCAAGAAUUAAUUAAGUUUGCAUAUUUACUUGUACUACUACUAGGAUUUCCUUAAAUUGAUACUUGUAUUUUCAUUACAGAUCAACUUAUAGUUGUGCAGCCGUCAGACUUUGUUGUCAUAUUCACUUGAUUUUGCUGAAAGGUUAGUCUUUCGCAAUUUUAUUUAUAAAUUUAUUUGAUANAAUUUAGGAUUAUAUAUGUUGAUUGAAUUUGUAUAAGCAUGAUUAUGUGUUUGUAUUAUCGCCGGUGGGGGAGAGGCGAAGAGCAUGAUUAGAUAAGCAUGUAUCUAGGUAGUAAAUGGAGAUUAGGUUGGGAGAUGACUGUGUUCCAUCUCAUUUUGUUGCUGUGGUGAUGGCUUGGAGCCGCGUAUAUGUUAUUUGUUUGAAUUUGUGUCCUUUAGGCAUUUGUUCGAUAACUUGGUAGAAAAUAAAAAAUAAGGAAUGUUUUUUUUAUCGACCCCUAGUAGAUUAUAUAAAUUAUGACUUUAUAUUCUUUGACUUUGAUGUGUAUUACUAUUUUGAAUAUGUAGUAUGUUAGACUUGGAUGUGUGAAAACUUAUUGGGAUUGUAGUAUGUGAAAACUUAUUAGGAUUGCAUUUGAAUGUUUGAAAACUUAUUAGGAUUGACUUGGAUGUGUGUUAUCAUUGGACUUUAGUUUGAUUUAAAUUAUCAUUGUUGUUAAAUAGAUUGAUUUCGAAAAUAUGUGUAAAUUGUCGAUAACAGGUGAAACUAAAAUCUGGAUAAUUUCAAUUUUUUUUAAAUGAAUACCGACGGAUACACCGUCGGUAAUUUUCCGGCAAUCGCACGGCGGCUCCGGCGACUAUUACCGACGGACUAGUCCGUCGGUGUUCCGUCGGCGACAGGAUGAUAAAGUCGUCGUCUACUGAGAAUUGGGCGACGGACUUUCGGUCGUGGAUCCGUCGGUAAUUUCCGACGGAC
rnacentral:lncRNA from 1 species